UACGUAGGUGGCGAGCGUUGUCCGGAAUAACUGGGCGUAAAGGGAGCGUAGGUGGUUGAUUAAGUUAAAUGUGAAAGCCCAGGGCUCAACUCUGGAACUGCAUUUAAUACUGGUCGGCUAGAGUACAGGAGGGGUAAACGGAAUUUCUAGUGUAGCGGUGAAAUGCGUAGAUAUUAGGAAGAACACCGGAGGCGAAGGCGGUUUACUGGACUGCAACUGACACUGAGGCUCGAAAGCGUGGGGAGCAA
rnacentral:rRNA from 1 species